rfam:Aedes albopictus isolate Foshan contig48091, whole genome shotgun sequence.
GGCUCGGUAGCUAAGUCGGUAAAGCAUUUGUGCAGCAUAUAAGAGUCGUGAGUUAAAAUUUCACUUGAGCUG